CUCACGGAGCCUGGCCUCUGCGUUGUGUUCUCCAUCUUGCAACGCAUGAUGAACUACACGGUAGAGUUCAGCCGAGGAAGAAUCAGGGAUAGAGGGACAGAAAAGAUAUAUUUGUCACGGCGCUGGAAGUGUUGCCCCCCUCCUCCCCAAGGGCAAGGUGAAGGAAGGUGCCUGUGUGGUUCUUCUGCAGUUCGCGACGAGGAUUGUUGUGUCCAACCUGCACAAGAAUGCCAAGAAGUCCUUCUCGAAGACGAUUAAGGACAUGUACCUGCACUACAACGAGAGAUCUGGGCUACUUCUUUGUGGCUUCCAAACUUGAAAUGUUUGUUUGGAAGUUAGUUUAGUUUUUUGUUGUGGAUUCACAGCUUCUCACAUGUACCAUCCUCUUAGACCUUUAGAUUUCCAAAGAAACUAAAUGAAGAUAUGG